rnacentral:tRNA from 1 species
GGAAGCACCGGGGCCGAGAAAAGCGUCAAGCAGGCUGCGCCCGGAGAAGCCCUGGUUUGGGGUUGAAGGACGCGGGUUCGAUUCCCGCCACCUCCACCA